UACGUAGGUCCCGAGCGUUGUCCGGAUUUAUUGGGUUUAAAGGGUGCGUAGGCGGAGUGCCAAGUCAGCGGUAAAAAUUCGGGGCUCAACCCCGUCGUGCCGUUGAAACUGGCGCCCUUGAGUGGGCGAGAAGUAUGCGGAAUGCGUGGUGUAGCGGUGAAAUGCAUAGAUAUCACGCAGAACCCCGAUUGCGAAGGCAGCAUACCGGCGCCCUACUGACGCUGAAGCACGAAAGCGUGGGUAUCGAACAGG
rnacentral:rRNA from 1 species